ACAGAUGUUCGUGCUAUUGCACCAAGAUGAGAAGAAAUAGGACAGUAGCUGUCUUAUGGUGCAGAGGGCUGAAAAAUCUCCCAGAGAAGAAACAUGUUUUACAAGAGGGAAAAAUAGAGGAUGGAGAGAAAGAAACAUUGAUUCACCAUUACUUUUGCCUCCUCCUCUACCUCUUGUGCUGCCAGCACCAGUGCCACCUUCAGCACCUCCAGCAUUAGACUAUUGCCCUUGAUUAACACAGGGGAACAGGAAGUGCCCCAAGUAGUAGGGCUACCCCCUUAUGGAAGUCAAACUGAAUUACCCCCUGAAUCAGUACACAGGCCACAGAAAUAUGGUUUAGUUCCUCCAUCUCAGACCCAGCCUGGAAACAAUUUGGCCUGGGCAACUCCUUCGGGUCAGGACAAUUUCCAUAGCGCUGAUACCUAUAGAAAGGCUUAACGCCCAAGGUCAGAGGCUUGGGAUUGUGUAUGUGUGUGUGUGUGUGUGUGUGCAUUUAAUAUGUAUGUAUAUAUAAUUUGUUCUUGACUUCAGGUCUGUUUAACCCUAUAAAGAGGAACUCCUCCACAUGAACAAACUUUUUAUUUUAGCUGGUCUGUGAAAAGGGUACCUAAACAAAAGAAGUUUGAGUAUUUGUCAGAAUUCCUAGAAAGGAUACUGAUGCUGACCCCGAGGCCCCCAAGAAUGUUAGGAUGGUAAAUAUAAACUUUAUAAGACAAAGCAAACCUAAUAACAAGAGAAAAAUGCAUAAAUUGAAUGGAGCAUUUGGCAUGAAUUCCCUUCAAUUGGUAGAUACUGCUUCUAAGGUUUUUAAGAUAGAAGAUGCAAAGCAGAAUGCCUCCUCCCUGGCCGCUGCAUUGGAUUCCAGAAAGAAAGGCAUUGGGAAAAGAUUGCCCCAAGAAUAAAAAAGGUGAAGAUGGAGGGUAAGUAAAAGAAGCCUCUCAAAUAGUGGAAAAUUCAGAUGAGGAUUGAAAGGGCCCAGGGGCUCCCUUGGGCUUAAAAUGCCCAAUUACAGUUUCCCCACAGGAGCCCUGAGUGAAAUUGAUAGUGGCGAACAAAUUGAUUGACUUUCUGGUAGACACAGGUGUUACAUAUUCAGUUAUAAACACAAAACUAACAAAAAAAAAGACUAUAAUCAACUCCAGUUACAGGAGUUUCUAGAGAAGUGCAGAACCACUCCUUUGUCCAGCCUUUGGAAUGCCAUCCAGGGGACUUUACAUUACCUGCCUGAAUAUCUAAGCCUUCUCCUGGAACAGGAUCUUCUUUGCAAAUUAAAUGCUCAAAAUGUGACUUUUUCACCAGGACAAUAAGGGUCCCACCAGAACAAGCUUUGAACUUACAUGUGGCCCCCAUAAGCCCAUUAUUAAAAAAAGAAAAGCAGACCUGCUACCCCCUGAGAUCUGUGAGGAGGAUCUGCAAGCCAUAAACGAAGUAGUUCAGGACAUGCAUCCUGUGAUGGAGACCACAGUCAACAGGAAAAACAAAAAAUCACACUUUGAAAAGGAUUUUUGCCAAAAUGUCAGGAGACAAAUUUGACUUGGGACAAGGUGUUGCUGGUUACCCUGUUACAGAUUAGGAUAGCUUCCAAAGCAGGCUAAAUUUAAGCCCCUGUGAAAUUCUGUAUGGUCAGACAUUCCAAGGUCUCUGCCCCAAUUGGUGAAUCAGUCAGUGCCUUGCAAUAUCUGACAAUAGCUAAAACUCUAGGCACUAUACUAACUUCUGUCUAUAAGUUUGCCUACAGCAGGUCUGUAUAGCCCAUUGAUGUGACCCUUAACCUUUUUUAGCCCAAGGUCAAGUCCUUAAAACCUGGAGAGAACAAAGACCUGAACAGCAACUGGCUGCCAAGUAGAUGAGGUUGUUCGAGGUUCUGCUGAAAACCCACUUGUUUGUUAAACUGGCUGGAGUGAAGCCAUGCAUACAUCCAUCGGAAGUCACCCCACCUCAGAAACAAGUCAAACAGUAGACUUGCAAAACACUUAAAGACCUGAAAGAGAUAAGUAAAAUGAAAAUAUAUAUGCUUUGUAUGUCCUGGCUCUCUUCUGGGGAGUCAUCCCUGCAUAGAAAGAUUUCUUUGACUACAUCCUCCUUCCCUGGUGGACAGUGACAGCUAACCUUAGCUAUUAUUGCAAAUGAAACCACUUUAGCUCUUGCCAAGCAGCAAAAAUCCUUGAACUCUCUUGGUAAAGUUGUGCUUGACAAUCAUACAGCCCUAGAUUAUAUGCUUGCUGAAAAAGUAUAGUCUGUAUGGUUGCAAAUACUACUGGCUAUACGUGUAUCGAUUCCUCUUCUGAGGUGGAGACUCAUAUUGCUAAAAUUAGAUAACAAGCUGCUUAGCUCCAGCAGACUUUGGAUCAUCAAAAGGGAUUAAAUCUAGGUGAUAUGGGAGACUGAUUUACAGGCCCUUUUUUUAUGGAUCCCUAACGGGGUACAUUCAAUCCAGGGAGAUAUCCUUAAAUUGUAUCUCACUCUCCUCCUUAUAGUGAUAGUAGCCUAUAUGUUAUUUAUAAGAAGAGGCUGUGCUAACUUAGAAAGCAAAAAGAGAAAUGCCCAUGAAUACUCCUAGGGUGUCUAUGCCUAAGAAAGGCACUAAAGAAUAUUCUAUAAGUCAAGUCAAAGGGUUCUAUUUCCACAAGUUCUCCUAACCGACCUUGUGUGUCCAGAUGAGAGACAACCUCCCUUUGUCCUUAAUCCCACAGGAUUGUGGAAUGGACCAUUGACAGUGAGGAAUUGUAACAGAGUGAAAUGCUCGACCCUCUGACUUCAUCUGCUUUAUUCCCAUGGAAUCUGCUUUAUUCCCAUGGAAUCAUUAGAGGAAUUCUACAAAAAUGGCCCCUUACCAGAAACUGCUUCUCCUGAGGAGAUAAGGGAAGGUCCUAUGGCUACUGAGUGUUGGCACCAGGAUUUGAACCUAGGCAAUGUGGCUCAGAACCAAGUUACGCAAGUAGUGCAGAGGUUUGACCAAGACAGUCCAGGAAAGGUCUUUCCUCAGAAAAUGCCAUUUAAGCUGAGAUCCAAAGAUCCACACCCAUGAAGGUGGAAUGAUCCUACCACCAUCCCUUUGAAAACAGAUGGAACGACGCCAUAAUUGACAUCAGGACCUGAUUCAAUGAUCAACUGCCUCCUACCCUAGCCCUGACCAAUCAGUAGAGCCAACUCCCUAGCUAAUGAGUUUUCCCCUUUAUAACCUGUCUCCUAGAGGCCAUCGGGGAACCAGAUCUUUGAGCACUAGCUCACUUGUGUCUUCGAGCUUGGUGCCAUUUCCUUAAAUAAAGUUUCUUUGCUGCAAA